UAAAUAAGCGAAUCCUACAGUACUGUGUACCAACCUUCCUGGAAACCAGCAAGCGUUGUCUUUAGCGCUCCUCCUGGAGACUGGGGAAGGUGCACUUGGGGAUGAGGAUGGGGUCGGGACAGCAUAAGAGCCAGUCGGGACAGAGGUUACAGAGUCGUCCUAUCAGUGAAGGGUACAUCUCAGCGAAAGAGUGGAGCCUGGCCAAGACCUCCAUGUAGAAAAGGGAGGGGUCUUUGGAAAGGAAACAUAGUAUUAGAAUGGAGUGAGAUGGUUGGUGAGACAGUGUGAAGAGCAGGCUCUCCUGAUAUCAUCCAUCUAGCCCAUCCAUCCAUAUACCCAGCUCAUCCAUCCUAAGUAUAAUGUCAAUGUUUCUGGUUCCAAGCCAUGGAGGAAUGUAUUAGGGACUCAUAUCCAUCAAUAACCAAAUAAUCUACCCUACAGCAUGGCUUCUAAAUAUGUGAAAUCGUGAUCUACUUUAUCAGAAACAGGACAGAUUUAAACCCAACAGAACAUGCGUCAAUUCAAACGUGACACUUGACUAAGAUGCCAGCCCCUGACCCAAUAGAGACUGCCCCAUCUGUCCAUCUAGGAAGUCCAGGGUGGGCUUGAGGAGAAUGAACGUGUCUCGGAUCAGUUGAGUUUCGGGACAGUCCAUGAGUUCGGUGCAGAGGGUCAGGUCCUCAAUGACACUGGCCACCCCACAGGUCAGAGACUUACAGUACAGCCACUCACUACUGCCUGUGGGGCAAAAGAGUCUCAGCUUAAAGGUAGACUUUGUAAUAUGAAUUCAUCAUACACAGUAAGGGCAUCAACAAUUCAAAUUGACGUUCUUUAUAUUAGCCCCUCCUUUAGCGAAACACAGGGGGCUGAGGGGGCACCUUGAGAAGACAGGUGUAUAUUAAUGAUUCUACACCACACAAAUGUCCCAUGGGAACAUUUUCACAAUGGAAACACGGCCGGUUAGCUUCAUGCUAGUUUCAGUCCUUAUUUACUGUGAGUUUCUGGCUGUAGGUGGCGUGAGAUAAUUGGUCGAACUGAACUGAAAUCCCAUCAUUCUGUUACCUUGAGGUCAGCAUCCAUUGUGGUAUUCAGUGGAGGUCAAAGGACAGCUAUAAAUUGGCCUUGGCUCCAGCUAGCCAGGAAGUACUCUGCCAGGACGCUGUGUCUCUCAGCCCGCUGCUCUGACCUCAUCUACCUCCCUCGCACUGUUUCAAAUUGUUAAAGUGGGCUGUCCAGACCAUUUUGAUUCAGAUCUAGAUUUCACAUGCAUUGUCCUCAACACUCAUAUUACCAUAUCAAAUUAUACAAACACUGUACACUGUACAAUUGUACAACGCUGUACAAUUGAUCGAGGGCGUCUAUUAAGAUAAAAAAAGUGUGUGUCCUCGCUCCGACACCCCAGCUAGAAGGCUAUGGAAGAACCUCAUCAGGUCCUCAUGCAUGUUUGCUGUUAGCG
rnacentral:lncRNA from 13 species